GGGGUUGUGGCUCAGUGAUAGAGUGCUCACCUAGCACAUGUGAGGCCCUGGGUUCAAUCCUCAGCACCACA
rnacentral:tRNA from 1 species